CAAAUACUCCCUCCGUUCCAAAAUAGUUGACCCAACUUUGUACUAACUUUGUACUAAGGUUAGUACAAAGUUGGGUCAACUAUUUUGGAACGGAGGGAGUACAAG
rfam:Triticum urartu cultivar G1812 contig951473, whole genome shotgun sequence.